CGGACACAAGUAUUACAAUCAAGUGCAAGCAGGAGAGAGUCACACAACACAUUAUCUUUGCAUGGAAGACAAGAAUAUCUCCCACUAGAGAAAACUUCAGGCCUAACAGGUAACCUCCGAUGGGGCAAGUUUAAAAAGCUAUUUUCUGGAGCAGGUACUAGGAUGGCCUUCAGGAGCAUCUUAGUGCUUUCUGACCUACCAGCGUUCCUCACAGCUUUGAAUCCUUUUCCGCUUUCUCCACUUGAAUGUGAACAUCUACAGACCUACAGCUCAGAAGCCAGCAUGCUUAAAGGGUAAUUCCCUCAUUUCUCUCGCUCUGACAAUUGGUGUUUAUGGGGAUGUAUCAACUACUUGUAAUGCCAUUUCCCCAUCAAUGACUAGAGAGUAGGGAAAGUGAAAUUUAAAAGCAUUAAGACAUGUAAAAGUUCUCCCACAACUGGUUUUCAUUCAUGAAAUAUUUACGCAGAGUUGAUAAGCUAUAAAGCCAGAAAUGACUUAAUUCAACAGAUUUGACUUUUCCAAACUGUGUGGGUGCAGUACUCCAAGGGGAAUUAUUCAGGUUUCAAAGCUCAGAUUCAAAGAGAAAACGAUCUAAUUUGUCACUCCUUCCACUAAUAUUCUCAAAAAUCAAGUCCAAUGCCAUUUAGCAAUAAGAAGGGACUAGGAUUUACAAAGUCGCCUUUUAAUGAGAAUGUAUAGUCUACUUGUUUAACAAGUUGAGCCUAAGAUUAAUGUAUUGCGUACGGUUCAGAAUAAUCAUGGGCCUCAACUGCAUGAACACUAUUACAAAACAGUAAAUGUUGAGAAUAUUCAAGUUGAACAAAUUCACAGAGGCGUUAAAUCGGCCAAACGAGUACAACAAAGACACACCUGUCCAAAUCUUCAAUUGUCAUAGUUUCCUUAAAAAUCAGAAAAUCUUUGUUUUGCUUUAAGGCAAACUGUCAGGUCGACCAAAAGGACAGAUAAGAGCAAAAACACUUCGCUGCAGUAUACCUCAUUCAGGAAGGUUUAACUUGCUGCUAAUCCGUGCCACAUAAUAAAUAAAUAAAUAAAUAAAUAAAUAAAUAAAUA
rnacentral:lncRNA from 1 species